rnacentral:antisense_RNA from 1 species
GAUUCUUCCCAAUUCUACCGCCACCAUUCUGGUUCAAGCUACCUGGAUCUCACUUUGUUACCCAGGCUAGAUAGAGUGCAAUGGUGUGACCACAGCUCACUGAAGCCUCAACCUCCUGAGCUCACUUUUAAGCAAUCCUCUCACUUCGGCCUCCUGAGUAGCUGGGCCUACAGGCAUGUACCAACACUCCCAGCAAGUUUUUCUUAUUUUUUGUGAAGACAGAGUCUUGCAGUAUUGCCCAAGCUGGACUUGAACUCCUGGCCUCAAGCAAUCCUCCCAUCUAGGCCUCCCAAAGUGCUAGGAUUACAGGCAUGAGCCACUGUGCCAAGCAACACUUGCAGUUUUUAAGUGAAAAUGAUCCUGUAAAUAUACAUAUGAAUAAAAUCUAGAAAGCUAUAUAAAUCAAAAUGUUAAA